rnacentral:rRNA from 1 species
AUUGAACGCUGGCGGCAUGCCUUACACAUGCAAGUCGAACGGCAGCACGGGUGCUUGCACCUGGUGGCGAGUGGCGAACGGGUGAGUAAUACAUCGGAACGUACCUUAUCGUGGGGGAUAACGCAGCGAAAGUUGCGCUAAUACCGCAUACGCCCUGAGGGGGAAAGCGGGGGACCGUAAGGCCUCGCGCGAUUAGAGCGGCCGAUGUCUGAUUAGGUUGUUGGUGAGGUAAAAGCUCACCAAGGCGAUGAUCAGUAGCUGGUCUGAGAGGACGAUCAGCCAAGCUGGGACUGAGACACGGCCCAGACUCCUACGGGGGGCAGCAGUGGGGAAUUUUGGACAAUGGGGGCAACCCUGAUCCAGCAAUGCCGCGUGAGUGAAGAAGGCCUUCGGGUUGUAAAGCUCUUUUGUCAGGGAAGAAACAGCAGCUCUAACACAGUCUGCGAAUGACGGUACCUGAAGAAUAAGCACCGGCUAACUACGUGCCAGCAGCCGCAGUAA